rnacentral:rRNA from 1 species
UGGCGGACGGGUGAGUAACGCGUGGGUAACCUGCCUCAUACAGGGGGAUAACAGUUGGAAACGACUGCUAAUACCGCAUAAGCGCACAGGAUUGCAUGAUCCGGUGUGAAAAACUCCGGUGGUAUGAGAUGGACCCGCGUCUGAUUAGCCAGUUGGCAGGGUAACGGCCUACCAAAGCGACGAUCAGUAGCCGACCUGAGAGGGUGACCGGCCACAUUGGAACUGAGACACGGUCCAAACUCCUACGGGAGGCAGCAUG